rnacentral:rRNA from 1 species
CUGAUUUGAAGAGCUUGCUCAGAUAUGACGAUGGACAUUGCAAAGAGUGGCGAACGGGUGAGUAACACGUGGGAAACCUACCUCUUAGCAGGGGAUAACAUUUGGAAACAGAUGCUAAUACCGUAUAACAAUAGCAACCGCAUGGUUGCUACUUAAAAGAUGGUUCUGCUAUCACUAAGAGAUGGUCCCGCGGUGCAUUAGUUAGUUGGUGAGGUAAUGGCUCACCAAGACGAUGAUGCAUAGCCGAGUUGAGAGACUGAUCGGCCACAAUGGGACUGAGACACGGCCCAUACUCCUACGGGAGGCAGCAGUAGGGAAUCUUCCACAAUGGGCGAAAGCCUGAUGGAGCAACGCCGCGUGUGUGAUGAAGGGUUUCGGCUCGUAAAACACUGUUGUAAGAGAAGAAUGACAUUGAGAGUAACUGUUCAAUGUGUGACGGUAUCUUACCAGAAAGGAACGGCUAAAUACGUGCCAGCAGCCGCGGUAAUACGUAUGUUCCAAGCGUUAUCCGGAUUUAUUGGGCGUAAAGCGAGCGCAGACGGUUAUUUAAGUCUGAAGUGAAAGCCCUCAGCUCAACUGAGGAAUUGCUUUGGAAACUGGAUGACUUGAGUGCAGUAGAGGAAAGUGGAACUCCAUGUGUAGCGGUGAAAUGCGUAGAUAUAUGGAAGAACACCAGUGGCGAAGGCGGCUUUCUGGACUGUAACUGACG